GAUGAACGCUGGCGGCGUGCCUAAUACAUGCAAGUCGAGCGAACGGACGAGAAGCUUGCUUCUCUGAUGUUAGCGGCGGACGGGUGAGUAACACGUGGAUAACCUACCUAUAAGACUGGGAUAACUUCGGGAAACCGGAGCUAAUACCGGAUAAUAUUUUGAACCGCAUGGUUCAAAAGUGAAAGACGGUCUUGCUGUCACUUAUAGAUGGAUCCGCGCUGCAUUAGCUAGUUGGUAAGGUAACGGCUUACCAAGGCAACGAUGCAUAGCCGACCUGAGAGGGGGAUAGGCCACACUGGAACUGAGACACGGUCAAGACGCCUACGGGAGGCAGCAGUAGGGAAUCUUCCGCAAUGGGCGAAAGCCUGACGGAGCAACGCCGCGUGAGUGAUGAAGGUCUUCGGAUCGUAAAAAUCUGUUAUUAGGGAAGAACAGAUGUGUAAGUAACUGUGCACAGCUUGACGGUACCUAAUCAGAAAGCCACGGCUAACUACGUG
rnacentral:rRNA from 1 species